rnacentral:rRNA from 1 species
UACGGAGGGUGCAAGCGUUAUCCGGAUUCACUGGGUUUAAAGGGUGCGUAGGUGGGUCUGAAAGUCAGUGGUGAAAUCUCCGGGCUUAACCUGGAAACUGCCAUUGAUACUUCAGGUCUUGAAUUUUCUGGAGGUAAGCGGAAUAUGUCAUGUAGCGGUGAAAUGCGUAGAUAUGAGAUAGAACACCAAUGGCGAAGGCAGCUUACUGCGGGAGUAUUGACGCUGAGGCACGAAAGCGUGGGGAUCAAACGGG